AUUGAAUGCUGGCGGCAGGCCUAACACAUGCAAGUCGAACGAGUGGCGGACGGGUGAGUAAUGUCUGGGAAACUGCCCGAUGGAGGGGGAUAACUACUGGAAACGGUAGCUACUACCGCAUACCCUCGGAUGUGCCCAGAUGGGAGUAGCUAGUAGGUGGGGUAACGGCUCACCUAGGCGACGAUCCCUAGCUGGUCUGAGAGGUUGACGAGCCACACAGGAACUGAGACACGGUGCAGGUGCCUACGGGAGGCAGCAGUAGGGAAUAUUACACAAUUGGCGCAAGCCUGAAGCAGCCAUGCCGCGUGUAUGAAGAAGGCCUUCGGGUUGUAAAGUACUUUCAGCGAGGAGGCGUUGCUCGCAGAAGAAGCACCGGCUAACUCCGUGCCAGCAGCCGCGGUAAUUC
rnacentral:rRNA from 1 species